rnacentral:lncRNA from 1 species
UGGUACCACCCGCUGCCGUAGAUACGCAGGCACCCCCCCAGGGUGUUAGAGGGAAUAGCGAAAUUGAGGUGUCCCUCCUCCGUGAGCUGGAGGAAAUGGGGUUCAAGCAGGUGGAUUUGAACAAGGAAAUCUUGAGGAAGAAUGAGUAUGACCUGGAGCAGUCUGUUGAUGAUCUCUGCGGUGUUGCUGAGUGGGAUCCUAUCCUCGAAGAGCUGGAGGAGAUGGUAGGUUAAUUUUAGAGGUCAAAGAAAAACUGGAAGUUUCCACUUCUCUUUUCACUCUUCUGUUGCUUGUGCAAGAGUUAUUCCAGGUUGACUAUGGGUACUUUUGUGAAUGCAGGGUUUCUCCGACAAAGAAAUGAACAAGAAGCUGCUUAAGAAGAACAAUGGAAGCAUCAAGCGUGUUGUCAUGGAUCUUAUUGCUGGAGAGCAGUAGGAGAGAUUUACUGUUUGUCCUACCUGGUGAAUGAAUAGUUUGGGUUAUGAAUAAUUUGCGGGAUGCAACAACAUGCUUUUGGUGUUCAUGAAAUGGGGUUCAAGCAGGUGGAUUUGAACAAGGAAAUCUUGAGGAAGAAUGAGUAUAACCUGGAGCAGUCUGUUGAUGAUCUCUGCGGUGUUGCUGAGUGGGAUCCUAUCCUCGAAGAGCUGGAGGAGAUGGUAGGUUAAUUUUAGAGGUCAAAGAAAAACUGGAAGUUUCAACUUCUCUAUUCACUCUUCUGUUGCUUGUGCAAGAAUUGUUCCAGGUUGACUAUGGUUUUUUUUUGUGAAUGCAGGGUUUCUCCGACAAAGAAAUGAACAAGAAGCUGCUUAAGAAGAACAACGGAAGCAUCAAACGUGUUGUCAUGGAUCUUAUUGCUGGAGAGCAGUAGGAGAGAUUUACUGUUUGUCCUACCUGGUGAUGGAUAGUUUGGGUUCUGAAUAAUUUGUGGGAUGCAACAAACAUGCUUUUGGUUACUUUUUGUCAGGUACAGUGGUUCGACAAACUCUUUUUAAGUUGUUACUUGAACUCGUUGUGUAAUAUAUAUGCUAUGGUAGUGGUCGUAUCUCGAAACACCUGAUAUUUAGUGCUUAAUGCAUAUGAAUGUAUUUCUUGGUAAUAGCAAGGGGCCAGAGAAAUUUAUCGUGCGCGAUGGGAGGUAAACAUUAAAAAAAUAUUAAUUAAAUUAAAUUAUGAUUGAACUUGUUGAUCCUGGUAGAUGGAAUUACUUUAAUAAAUUUAAAUUGUCAUUUUAUUUGUCAAAACGAUAUACCUAACA